ACCCGUGUGUCAGGGCCGAGGUAGGUGGAAGGGGGUGGAGACCCAUAAAAACUAAGAGUUAGAGCGUGUUUCUGCCGAAAACUAAAUCUUUUUCUCACCGCGCCCUCCCACGUGCCCGCUGUCGUACCUGCUCCUUCUCUCAGCGCGUGAAAACAUUGGCCACCUCCCUUCCCCAUCCGAGACGACACGCCCCCGUCCACGGAAGCGGCGGCGACAGGCGACAGCAGCGGCCGGGGGGCACGGGGACCUCAGCACCGCGUCCUCGCUAGGCGCGCCGCACACUGCUGGAGCGGCGCGUCCCCAUCCUCAGCGGCGUGCGGUGCUCGCCAUGGAUCCCGGCAUCCGCAUCCUCUCUGAGCUCACAGGUAGCCAAGCUUGCAACAAGGGACUGUAAAUUGCAAGGUUUGCUACCACACUCAGAAAGGAGCUGCAAAAUACUACUACAAACCAGGUUACUAACUUCUUUUUUUUGAAUGGUCACCGGGGGGAGAGCAUCCCCACCUGAAUUGUAUUCAAAAGGUGUGGCAGACCACAGAUCAAAGGCCUCAUUUUUAAGGAAAAUGAGACAAAAACCUUGCUCGAUUAAUUGAGGAAAACCGAGCUAAAACCAAGAUAACAUACCUACCUAAACUAGGUCUCGAACAACACACCCUAGCACAAGGGCAAUUGUGGCAUAACCACGGAUAACAACACUAUGUCCUAGCAUAAGGACAAAAAAAUGCGGCUUAAUCCGCGAAUAACACAACCAUACUAAGUACAAGCUCUAAAUUGUAGCAGCAACCAUGGCACCGCACCAUGCGGGAGAUGUCCCAAUAGAAGUUUUAGGAUUAUUGGGAGACUUGCUUUUGCAGUCUUUCAAUAAUCUUCUCCCAAUCCAACUAUCUUAUUGGGAGCGUCACAAUUCUUCCUUUAUUUAGGGAUAGUUGGGGUGAAUUAUUGGAUUGUCCCAAUAAUUAUUGGAAAAAGGGAAAAGUUUUGAGAGAUUGCUGGAGCACUAUUUUUUUAUCUACUCUCCCAGUAUGGUAGUUGGAUUGGGGAUCGGAAGACCGCUAUAGAUGCUCUAAUAAUGAAGAGGAUUCACUUUAAGUCCAAGAGAGACCUAUUUGCAGAUUUUCAAAUUUAUUUAUUCUAAUGUGAAGGAAAUAGUGCACAGGUACCUUCGAAGUUCUGAAUCCAUGUGACACAAAAUGUGAGUAUUUUUCUUUUAAGUGUUUACAAUUGUUCUAAGCGGUUAUUUAAUUGGCAUAAUGCUGGGUGACUUGUAUAGCUAUUUGCCUUUACUAACCAUAUUAAGUAAAGUGUUUUUUUAAUAUGUGAAUGAAAAUUAUGAUCGAAUUCGAAGUCUCUUUUUCAUUUAAAACACAUGUAUGUCGCACGUGCACUUUACUAGUUUUAUUAAAUAAAAAGAGACAAUUCCCUACUAGCGGAAUUAUCUAAAAAAAAAGAUAAGUGAGUAAUAGUACCAGAGCGGAGGGUGAUGGUGAAGCCAUCCCUGAGAGUCGGCCUCGAGCACUAAUCCAAUGGACAAUCUGAAAAAGUUUGGAGAGAAGCUUGAUCAAUAAGCAGUCUAGUUUCAAAACAGUUACAUAUGCCAAAAGCAGUUCGAUCAGCUGCAUGUUAGGUCCCUAGGUGUAGCCAUGACUCAUGAGCGGGAGUGGCUGAGUUUGUAUUGAGUUUCGGCCUGCUCAGUGCUGUAAGCCCAUGCGGCAAGUCGUUGUUGGCCCACAGCCCAGGAACGUGUAUGGGGUAUAACUGUAUAAGUCCCCAUGGGGGCGCCCCUGUAUCGGUAUGAAUGAAUUGAACCAUAACUGAA